AGAUCCAGCUAACUGUAAGUUUCAAUUCUUCCAAGGUGAUAUGAUGGCCUGGGGGCUUAGAGCUCUGAAAGCUGCUUCCUACUGUUGAUUCAGUUUCUAUCAGGUUCUGCUAUUGACUUGCACCAGGCCCAGAAGAUUGAUUAUGGAAAAGAUAUGCCAGAUAAUACACAUUUUGGGGACUUCAUAUGAACAAAGAUGCUAAUAUUGAGAAUGGGAUAAAAGGAAAGAUCACUUCUUUAUGGAUCUGUCAGGCUGCCAACUCUCCUGUAUCCAGGAUUCUCCUAGUAAAGGUAAAUUUUAUAUUUAUUCCCACCUCCUGUCAUACAUAAUUUUUAUACAAUCAUCACAGGUGGUACUAA
rnacentral:lncRNA from 1 species